GACGAACGCUGGCGGCGUGCCUAACACAUGCAAGUCGAGCGAGGUAUUUAUACCUAGCGGCGGACGGGUGAGUAACACGUGGGUAACCUGCCUCAUAGAGGGGAAUAGCCUUCCGAAAGGGAGAUUAAUACCGCAUAAGAUUGUAGCUUCGCAUGAAGUAGCAAUUAAAGGAGCAAUCCGCUAUGAGAUGGGCCCGCGGCGCAUUAGCUAGUUGGUGAGGUAACGGGUGACCAAGGCGACGAUGCGUAGCCGACCUGAGAGGGUGAUCGGCCACAUUGGGACUGGUACACGGCCCAGACUCCUACGGGAGGCAGCGGUGGGGAAUAUUGCACAAUGGGGGAAACCCUGAUGCAGCAACGCCGCGUGAGUGAUGACGGCCUUCGGGUUGUAAAGCUCUGUCUUCAGGGACGAUAAUGACGGUACCGGAGGAGGAAGCCACGGCUAACUACGUGCCAGCAGCCGCCGUAA
rnacentral:rRNA from 1 species